UGUUAAAAAACGUGCUGCAUUGAAUCAAUAGACCGUGCGUUCUCAAAUUUAAUGAAAAUGUCUUAUUUCAUAUAGGAAUUAUUUAAAACAAUCACUCAUUUGUUGUAGAAUGUACUCAGUAAUUCGGUUUGUUUUCAGACACGGCAUCAGUAAACAACAUAUUGAUCGGUGUUGCUGUGAGUGGAUGGUUGUUGUUUUUGGUAGUACUUACAAUCUUAUCAGUCACAAUAAUAAGACGAAAAUAUCAGAAUUGCAAAGGUAUUAAAAACAAGGAUACGGUGAAUCAGGAACAGCAACCGCCAAUUCGUGACCAGCACGAAUAUAUGACUUUACAACACGAGCAAGGGAAUGCAGAUGAUGUGACAAACUAUGAAAUGUUGAAGCAGGACAAAGAGAGAACUAUAAAUCAGAGCAACUAUGAGAACUUUGAAAACACUGGACUUUGAAAGAUUUUCGUGUAUAUAUGAAGAGGAAGAAACCUAGUUAUAUGUUGCAUCAAUUUAAUAUCAUAUGUUGUUAUAUUUAUAAACUUAUAAUGAUGUUAGUAUAUUAAAUGCCUAUUCUGUCAUAAUUAUAAAAGGCCAGCCGAUUUCACUUAUAAAGCAAUUCUACAACAAUGUAAUUGUUACUAGCCAGUUAUUUUAUAUUUACAGAAAAGAAGAGUGCGAUUUUGUGCAUGUUUUAGUUUUAAAUAUCUUCCUUUUGAAUGAUAAUACGACGGCAUUGCAUACUUCUAGAAAAUGUCGAGAGUCUCUGAAUUGUGUGUGAUUUGCUCUAAAAUAUUUUUAGAAAGCAAUGUAGUAUAAGAUGGACAAUGAAACGUGAAGCCAUAAUUAUUCCCAUUUUCAUUUUGUACAUAUGUGUUUUUACGGACAAUAGCAGUGUAUUAUUUACUCGGAGACAUAUAAAUUGAAUCAGCAAUCAAAGAACUUAUGAUGUUUUUAAUAUGCUUCUGUAAAUAAUAAUAAAAUGAUUGUGAGCCAAGUCAUAAAAUAUAGAUCUGAAAUGAAUGUGUACUUUUAUGUUAAAUUUGUUAAUCUCCUUGCGUAAUAUAUACAUACUCAAUAAAGUUGAUACUCUACAGAGAGGUUUA